rnacentral:rRNA from 1 species
AACGAACGCUGGCGGCAUGCCUAACACAUGCAAGUCGAACGAGACCUUCGGGUCUAGUUGCGCACGGGUUCGUAACGCGUUGGAACCUGCCUUUAUGUUCGGAAUAACUCAUAGUAAUUUGUGCUAAUACCGGAUGAUGUCUUCGGACCAAAGAUUUCUCGCCUUUUGAUGGGCCCGCGUUGGAUUAGCUUGUUGGUGGGGUAAAGGCCUACCAAGGCGACGAUCCAUAGCUGGUCUGAGAGGAUGAUCAGCCACACUGGGACUGAGACACGGCACAGACUACUACGGGAGGGAGCAGUGGGGAAUAUAGGAAAAUGGGCGAAAGGAUGAUAAAGCAAUGCCGCGUGAGUGAUGAAGGCAUUAGGGUAGUAAAGCUCUUUUACCAGAGAUGAUAAUGACAGUAUCGGGAGAAUAAGCACCGGCUAACUACGUG